GACGAACGCUGGCGGCGUGCUUAACACAUGCAAGUCGAACGGAAAGGCCCUGCUUUUGUGGGGUGCUCGAGUGGCGAACGGGUGAGUAACACGUGAGUAACCUGCCCUUGACUUUGGGAUAACUUCAGGAAACUGGGGCUAAUACCGGAUAGGAGCUCCUGCUGCAUGGUGGGGGUUGGAAAGUUUCGGCGGUUGGGGAUGGACUCGCGGCUUAUCAGCUUGUUGGUGGGGUAGUGGCUUACCAAGGCUUUGACGGGUAGCCGGCCUGAGAGGGUGAACGGCCACAUUGGGACUGAGAUACGGCCCAGAAUGCUACGGGAGGCAGCAGUGGGGAAUAUUGCACAAUGGGCGGAAGCCUGAUGCAGCAACGCCGCGUGCGGGAUGACGGCCUUCGGGUUGUAAACCGCUUUCGCCUGUGACGAAGCGUGAGUGACGGUAAUGGGUAAAGAAGCACCGGCUAACUACGUG
rnacentral:rRNA from 1 species